rnacentral:rRNA from 1 species
UACGGGGGGGGCAAGCGUUGUUCGGAAUUAUUGGGCGUAAAGAGCUCGUAGGCGGUCUGUCGCGUCGGUCGUGAAAACUUGGGGCUUAACCCUGAGCUUGCGGUCGAUACGGGCAUGACUGGAGUUCGGCAGGGGAGACUGGAAUUCCUGGUGUAGCGGUGAAAUGCGCAGAUAUCAGGAGGAACACCGGUGGCGAAGGCGGGUCUCUGGGCCGAUACUGACGCUGAGGAGCGAAAGCGUGGGGAGCGAACAGG